rnacentral:rRNA from 1 species
UACGGAGGGUGCGAGCGUUGUUCGGAAUCACUGGGCGUAAAGGGCGUGUAGGCGGUCCGCUAAGUCUGAUGUGAAAGCCCGGGGCUCACCCCCGGAAGGGCAUUGGAAACUGGCGGACUCGAGUCCCGGAGAGGAAGGUGGAAUUCCUGGUGUAGCGGUGAAAUGCGUAGAUAUCUGGAGGAACACCGGUGGCGAAGGCGGCAUCCUGGACCGAGAUUGACGCUGAGGCGCGAAAGCCAGGGGAGCAAACGGG